AUGUCCCAAUGAUGGCAGCACUGGGCUCUGAAACUGGUGAAAGAAACUGUGCCCCGCUGUGACUUGACAUGCAGUGGGUCUGAGGGACAG